CAAUAGCGUAUAUUAAAGUUGUUGCAGUUAAAAAGCUCGUAGUUGGAUUUGUGGCGUACGGUGUGUUCCGGGCACUUGUUGUCUGAGUAACCUGCUGUUGCCAUCCUUGGGUGGAACCUGUGUGGCAUUAGGUUGUCGUGCAGGGGAUGCCCAUCAUUUACUGUGAAAAAAUUAGAGUGUUCAAAGCAGGCUUAUGCCGUUGAAUAUAUUAGCAUGGAAUAAUGAGAUAGGACUUUUUUGCUAUUUUGUUGGUUUGCGCAAGAAGGUAAUGAUUAAUAGGGACAGUUGGGGGUAUUCGUAUUCCAUUGUCUGAGGUGAAAUUCUUGGAUUUUUGGAAGACGAACUACUGCGAAAGCAUUUACCAAGGAUGUUUUCAUUAA
rnacentral:rRNA from 1 species